UACGUAGGGUGCAAGCGUUGUCCGGAAUCAUUGGGCGUAAAGCGCGUGUAGGCGGCUUGGUAAGUCAGCUGUGAAAGCCCAGGGCUCAACCCUGGGAUGCCGGUUGAUACUGCCAAGCUCGAGUCCGGAAGAGGAGUGUGGAAUUCCUGGUGUAGCGGUGAAAUGCGCAGAUAUCAGGAGGAACACCAAUGGCGAAGGCAGCACUCUGGGACGUGACUGACGCUGAGACGCGAAAGCGUGGGGAGCGAACAGG
rnacentral:rRNA from 1 species